GGUUAAGCGACUAAGCGUACACGGUGGAUGCCCUGGCAGUCAGAGGCGAUGAAGGACGUGCUAAUCUGCGAUAAGCGUCGGUAAGGUGAUAUGAACCGUUAUAACCGGCGAUUUCCGAAUGGGGAAACCCAGUGUGUUUCGACACACUAUCAUUAACUGAAUCCAUAGGUUAAUGAGGCGAACCGGGGGAACUGAAACAUCUAAGUACCCCGAGGAAAAGAAAUCAACCGAGAUUCCCCCAGUAGCGGCGAGCGAACGGGGAGCAGCCCAGAGCCUGAAUCAGUGUGUGUGUUAGUGGAAGCGUCUGGAAAGGCACGCGAUACAGGGUGACAGCCCCGUACACAAAAAUGCACAUGCUGUGAGCUCGAUGAGUAGGGCGGGACACGUGGUAUCCUGUCUGAAUAUGGGGGGACCAUCCUCCAAGGCUAAAUACUCCUGACUGACCGAUAGUGAACCAGUACCGUGAGGGAAAGGCGAAAAGAACCCCGGCGAGGGGAGUGAAAAAGAACCUGAAACCGUGUACGUACAAGCAGUGGGAGCACGCUUAGGCGUGUGACUGCGUACCUUUUGUAUAAUGGGUCAGCGACUUAUAUUCUGUAGCAAGGUUAACCGAAUAGGGGAGCCGAAGGGAAACCGAGUCUUAACUGGGCGUUAAGUUGCAGGGUAUAGACCCGAAACCCGGUGAUCUAGCCAUGGGCAGGUUGAAGGUUGGGUAACACUAACUGGAGGACCGAACCGACUAAUGUUGAAAAAUUAGCGGAUGACUUGUGGCUGGGGGUGAAAGGCCAAUCAAACCGGGAGAUAGCUGGUUCUCCCCGAAAGCUAUUUAGGUAGCGCCUCGUGAAUUCAUCUCCGGGGGUAGAGCACUGUUUCGGCAAGGGGGUCAUCCCGACUUACCAACCCGAUGCAAACUGCGAAUACCGGAGAAUGUUAUCACGGGAGACACACGGCGGGUGCUAACGUCCGUCGUGAAGAGGGAAACAACCCAGACCGCCAGCUAAGGUCCCAAAGUCAUGGUUAAGUGGGAAACGAUGUGGGAAGGCCCAGACAGCCAGGAUGUUGGCUUAGAAGCAGCCAUCAUUUAAAGAAAGCGUAAUAGCUCACUGGUCGAGUCGGCCUGCGCGGAAGAUGUAACGGGGCUAAACCAUGCACCGAAGCUGCGGCAGCGACGCUUAUGCGUUGUUGGGUAGGGGAGCGUUCUGUAAGCCUGUGAAGGUGUGCUGUGAGGCAUGCUGGAGGUAUCAGAAGUGCGAAUGCUGACAUAAGUAACGAUAAAGCGGGUGAAAAGCCCGCUCGCCGGAAGACCAAGGGUUCCUGUCCAACGUUAAUCGGGGCAGGGUGAGUCGACCCCUAAGGCGAGGCCGAAAGGCGUAGUCGAUGGGAAACAGGUUAAUAUUCCUGUACUUGGUGUUACUGCGAAGGGGGGACGGAGAAGGCUAUGUUGGCCGGGCGACGGUUGUCCCGGUUUAAGCGUGUAGGCUGGUUUUCCAGGCAAAUCCGGAAAAUCAAGGCUGAGGCGUGAUGACGAGGCACUACGGUGCUGAAGCAACAAAUGCCCUGCUUCCAGGAAAAGCCUCUAAGCAUCAGGUAACAUCAAAUCGUACCCCAAACCGACACAGGUGGUCAGGUAGAGAAUACCAAGGCGCUUGAGAGAACUCGGGUGAAGGAACUAGGCAAAAUGGUGCCGUAACUUCGGGAGAAGGCACGCUGAUAUGUAGGUGAAGCGACUUGCUCGUGGAGCUGAAAUCAGUCGAAGAUACCAGCUGGCUGCAACUGUUUAUUAAAAACACAGCACUGUGCAAACACGAAAGUGGACGUAUACGGUGUGACGCCUGCCCGGUGCCGGAAGGUUAAUUGAUGGGGUCAGCGCAAGCGAAGCUCUUGAUCGAAGCCCCGGUAAACGGCGGCCGUAACUAUAACGGUCCUAAGGUAGCGAAAUUCCUUGUCGGGUAAGUUCCGACCUGCACGAAUGGCGUAAUGAUGGCCAGGCUGUCUCCACCCGAGACUCAGUGAAAUUGAACUCGCUGUGAAGAUGCAGUGUACCCGCGGCAAGACGGAAAGACCCCGUGAACCUUUACUAUAGCUUGACACUGAACAUUGAGCCUUGAUGUGUAGGAUAGGUGGGAGGCUUUGAAGUGUGGACGCCAGUCUGCAUGGAGCCGACCUUGAAAUACCACCCUUUAAUGUUUGAUGUUCUAACGUUGACCCGUAAUCCGGGUUGCGGACAGUGUCUGGUGGGUAGUUUGACUGGGGCGGUCUCCUCCUAAAGAGUAACGGAGGAGCACGAAGGUUGGCUAAUCCUGGUCGGACAUCAGGAGGUUAGUGCAAUGGCAUAAGCCAGCUUGACUGCGAGCGUGACGGCGCGAGCAGGUGCGAAAGCAGGUCAUAGUGAUCCGGUGGUUCUGAAUGGAAGGGCCAUCGCUCAACGGAUAAAAGGUACUCCGGGGAUAACAGGCUGAUACCGCCCAAGAGUUCAUAUCGACGGCGGUGUUUGGCACCUCGAUGUCGGCUCAUCACAUCCUGGGGCUGAAGUAGGUCCCAAGGGUAUGGCUGUUCGCCAUUUAAAGUGGUACGCGAGCUGGGUUUAGAACGUCGUGAGACAGUUCGGUCCCUAUCUGCCGUGGGCGCUGGAGAACUGAGGGGGGCUGCUCCUAGUACGAGAGGACCGGAGUGGACGCAUCACUGGUGUUCGGGUUGUCAUGCCAAUGGCACUGCCCGGUAGCUAAAUGCGGAAGAGAUAAGUGCUGAAAGCAUCUAAGCACGAAACUUGCCCCGAGAUGAGUUCUCCCUGACUCCUUGAGAGUCCUGAAGGAACGUUGAAGACGACGACGUUGAUAGGCCGGGUGUGUAAGCGCAGCGAUGCGUUGAGCUAACCGGUACUAAUGAACCGUGAGGCUUAA
rnacentral:rRNA from 1 species